rnacentral:rRNA from 1 species
AUUGAACGCUGGCGGCAGGCCUAACACAUGCAAGUCGAACGAGUGGCGGACGGGUGAGUAAUGUCUGGGAAACUGCCUGAUGGAGGGGGAUAACUACUGGAAACGGUAGCUAAUACCGCAUACCAUCAGAUGUGCCCAGAUGGGAUUAGCUAGUUGGUUGGGUAACGGCUCACCAAGGCUAAGAUCCCGAGCUGGUCUGAGAGGAUGACCAGCACUGCUGGAACUGAGACACGGUCCAGACUCCUACGGGAGGCAGCAGUGGGGAAUAUUGCACAAUGGGCGAAAGCCUGAUGCAGCCAUGCCGCGUGUGUGACGAAGGCCUUCGGGUUGUAAAGUACUUUCAGCGGGGAGGCGUUACCCGCAGAAGAAGCACCGGCUAACUCCGUGCCAGCAGCCGCGGUAAUUC